rnacentral:lncRNA from 13 species
CAGAGAUGGAGCUAUAGGACUCUCUAUUACAGUCAUCAGAGAUGGAGUUAUAGGACUCUCUAUUACAGUCAUCAGAGAUGGAGUUAUAGGACUCUCUAUUACAGUCAUCAGAGAUGGAGUUAUAGGACUCUCUAUUACAGUCAUCAGAGAUGGAGCUAUAGGACUAUUACAGUCAUCAGAGAUGGAGUUAUAGGACUCUCUAUUACAGUCAUCAGAGAUGGAGCUAUAGGACUCUCAUACAGUCAUCAGAGAUGGAGCUAUAGGAGUCUCAGAAACCUCUUUCUUCCACAACACUACAUGGAAAAGUAGAAUGAACAUCAAAACAUUGUAGAAGAGAGACUACACUACUUGUCAUUUCUUUACAACAGUUUGAACAAACAGCUGUGUGUGUGACGGUGACAACAUGUGACUCAGAAAGGUCUCUGGGCCUUGUUAUGCCAGUUGACAUAGAAAUGGAACAUCAUCUGUGGCUGUUGUGUUUGAGGAGAGGAGAGGAGAGGAGAGGAGAGGAGAUUGCAAAGCUGCAGGUGUGUGUUGCACAGUGUGGGUUGGGUAAGGUUGUGGUGAGAUGGAAGGCUGUUUCUCAGCAUCCUGCCUGUGCUUCAGCGCGUUCUCUCUCUGUCACCACAUCCUCUCCUCGGCUGUCUCUCUCUCUCUCUCUCUCUACCUCCACCUCCACCCCUGCAGAGCUGCAAGGCUCAGUUUCACAACAACCACUAACACACACCACCCCCACUCUUCUAUGCGAUGGGAGCAUACAUUUCCUGUUAUAAGGUAGAAAUACAGCAAUGUGAUAAUCACCACACUGUUUCUCCCCCAGACCAUAAAUGUAUUUAGCAAAAAGGACAAUUUAUAACUUAUAUACAGCCAUUAAACUUGCAGACGUCAACUGAAAGUGUUGAACUGCUGUGAAUGUAGCCUGAAACUUCCUUUUGACUCAGAGGGAAAUAUGAUCUGAGCCAGAUAAACCCUAUCUGGGUCAGAUAUAACUUUUCCACUUGAGUGUAUAGGCCAUGAGACCCACGAUGCACUGCAGCGCUGCAGAGCAUCAUGGAAACGUCCUCUCUGUGUGGGCAGGAAGUGGUGAGUUUCUCAGAAACAGGUGUGACACAGACACACAACAGAAUGAAAAUAACUGCAAGAAAACAUCCUCCCUUCAUGGGAAGGAUGAAGCUACUGUUGAAAUCACAACUGUGUAGAGAGUUUCUGCUCCAACGAGCUUUGAGUAAAUCAACCAUCAAUCAACCAUUCAAUUAUAUACAUUUGUUAAUUUGAUAAAGAGUGUGUAUUAUUGUCAGUUUAAAUUAUAUACAUUUGUUAAUUUGACAGUGUCUAUUUUCAGAUUAAAUUAUAUACAUUUGUUAAUUUGACAGAGUUUUUAUUUUCAGAUGAAAUAUAAAUUUGUUAAUCUGACAAAGUGUCUAUUGUCAGAUUAAAUGAUAGACAUUUGUUAAUUUGACAGUCUAUUAUUGUCAGAUUUAAAUGAUAUAAACUUGUUAAUUUGACAGUCUAUUGUUGUCAGAUUGGUCAUUGCCAAGCCCUUUUAAUAAAUUACGACAUGAGUUCGGUUUCAACAUCACUAACUUCUCUUAGCUGGAAAUAAGUAUCAGAGUCACAAUCUGUCAUUUACAACUUUAUUACUGAGUAAAGAGAGAGUAUAUAGUAACAGUUUAUGUUUUCCAGCUGAUUGAUAUGCUAAAACUACACACAGGCAAACCAAGGGACAGAUCAACAUUUACUGGGGGGGGGGGGGG